GCUUUACACAUGCAAGUCGAGCGGGCGUAGCAAUACGUCAGCGGCAGACGGGUGAGUAACGCGUGGGAACGUACCUUUUGGUUCGGAACAACACAGGGAAACUUGUGCUAAUACCGGAUAAGCCCUUACGGGGAAAGAUUUAUCGCCGAAAGAUCGGCCCGCGUCUGAUUAGCUAGUUGGUAGGGUAACGGCCUACCAAGGCGACGAUCAGUAGCUGGUCUGAGAGGAUGAUCAGCCACAUUGGGACUGAGACACGGCCCAAACUCCUACGGGAGGCAGCAGUGGGGAAUAUUGGACAAUGGGGGCAACCCUGAUCCAGCCAUGCCGCGUGAGUGAUGAAGGCCCUAGGGUUGUAAAGCUCUUUUGUGCGGGAAGAUAAUGACGGUACCGCAAGAAUAAGCCCCGGCUAACUUCGUGCCAGCAGCCGCGGUAAUACGAAGGGGGCUAGCGUUGCUCGGAAUCACUGGGCGUAAAGGGUGCGUAGGCGGGUCUUUAAGUCAGGGGUGAAAUCCUGGAGCUCAACUCCAGAACUGCCUUUGAUACUGAAGAUCUUGAGUUCGGGAGAGGUGAGUGGAACUGCGAGUGUAGAGGUGAAAUUCGUAGAUAUUCGCAAGAACACCAGUGGCGAAGGCGGCUCACUGGCCCGAUACUGACGCUGAGGCACGAAAGCGUGGGGAGCAAACAGGAUUAGAUACCCUGGUAGUCCACGCCGUAGACGAUGAAUGCCAGCCGUUAGUGGGUUUACUCACUAGUGGCGCAGCUAACGCUUUAAGCAUUCCGCCUGGCGAGUACGGUCGCAAGAUUAAAACUCAAAUGAAUUGACUGGGGCCCGCACUAGCGGUGGAGCAUGUGGUGUAAUUCUACGCAACGCGCAGAAGCUUACCAGCCCUUGACAUGUCCAGGACCGGUCGCAGACAUGUGACCUUCUCUUCGCACCCUGGAACACAGGUGCUGCAUGGCUGUCGUCAGCUCCUGUCAUGAGAUGUUGGGUUGAGUCCAUCAACUAGCGCAGCUCCGUUCCUUAGCUGCUACCAUUUUAUUCACCACUCUAAGGAGACUGCAGAUGAUUAGGCGCUAUCAACGUGCGGAUGACGUGAAGUGAUCUGGCCCCUCACCGACUGGCCUAACACCCUGCUACCAUGGCCGCGACAAUGGGGUGGG
rnacentral:rRNA from 16 species